rnacentral:rRNA from 1 species
CAUCGGUGACAGGUGGUGCAUGGUUGUCGUCAGCUCGUGUCGUGAGAUGUUGGUAAGUCCCGCAACGAGCGCAACCCCUAUUGUUAGUUGCCAUCAUUCAGUUGGGCACUCUAGCGAGACUGCCGGUAAUAAGCCGGAGGAAGGUGGGGAUGACGUCAAAUCAUCAUGCCUCUUAUGACCUGGGCUACACACGUGCUACAAUGGUUGGUACAACGAGUUGCGAGUCGGUGACGCGAGCUAAUCUCUUAAAGCCAAUCUCAGUUCGGAUUGUAGGCUGCAACUCGCCUACAUGAAGUCGGAAUCGCUAGUAAUCGCGGAUCAGCACGCCGCGGUGAAUACGUUCCCGGGCCUU